AGGUGUGCUGUGGCAGCUCUGUGGGAAAGCUGCUCUGAGUGCCUGUGAGUGGCUCUGGCAGAGGGCUGAGCAUCUCAGGAGGGAUUUACAUACUGUCAAAGCUUCUCAAGCCUUGGAAAUGAGAAACUGUGGAUGGCAGCAGUGGAUUCUUCUGGAAGUCCUGCAGGGUUGGCUGCAUGCUCCCUGGCUGGCAGAGGACCCUGGAGAUGAGAGAACCAAUAUUGCUGCGAAGGUUAUUCCUAGCACAGGAGCAGUUAAGAAUCUGUCUGCACACAAAUGACGAAUUAUUGUAAUCUGAACAAAGAAUGGGGCAGUAA